rnacentral:rRNA from 1 species
GCAGUGUAAGGGUGAAAUCUGUAGAUAUUGCUAAGAACACCGGCGGCGAAGGCGGCUUCCUGGUCCGUUUCUGACGCUAAAUUGCGAAAGCUAGGGUAGCAAACGGAAUUAGAUACUCCGGUAGUCCUAGCCGUAAACGAUGAGUACUAGGUGUCGGUCAUUCUGAUCGGUGCCGCAGCUAACGCAUUAAGUACUCCACCUGGGGACUACGGCCGCAAGGCUAAAACUCAAAGGAAUUGACGGGGACCCGCACAAGCGGUGGAACAUGUGGUUUAAUUCGAUGCUACGCGAAGAACCUCACCAGGGCUUGACAUGCUCGUCGUAUCCCUAUGAAAGUAGGGAGUCAUUUAGUUGGACGAUGCACAGGUGCUGCAUGGCUGUCGUCAGCUCGUGUCGUGAGAUGUUGGGUUAAGUCCCGCAACGAGCGCAACCAUUGCCCCAUGUUGCCACUCUACCAAUUGAUCUUCGGAUCACCGGUAGAAGCACUCUUGGGGGACUGCCUGGGAUAACCAGGAGGAAGGUGGAGAUGACGUCAAGUCAGUACGGCCCUUAUGCCCUGGGCUACACACGUGUUACAAUGGCAGGUACAAAGAGUCGCCAACCCGCGAGGGGGAGCCAAUCUCAAAAAACCUGCCCCAGUUCGGAUAAGAGUCUGCAACUCGACUCUUUGAAGCCGGAAUCGCUAGUAAUGGAAGAUCAGCUCGCUUCCGUGAAUACGUUCCCGGGUCUUGUACACACCGCCCGUCAAGCGAUGAAAGUCGGAAGUACCCGAAGUCCUAUGUAGGUAGGCCGAAGGUAAAGUCGAUGAUUGGCGCUAAGUCGUAACAAGGUA